CCUAAACCUGGGACAGAACUGAGAACUUUGUGACCAGAAGCUGGUGUUCUGAGGGCUGAUGUCACACAGCCCAACGGGUCUCAAAGCCCCAGAACAUACCCGUCCCUCCCUUGAGCUCUGGCACAAGACGGCGCAUCUGGAAGUCAGCUCAGGACGCCUGGACUCAGGGAGGUGUUGCUACCAUUCGAAUUGUUGGCUUUUCUCCGGGAGUCACUUCUCUUCUCUCCAGGGAUUACCAAGCCUUUAAAGGGACCCACUUCUCAAGGCUCAGAGUGUUUGAUUAAAUUGCUCGUUCCAGGUGUGCGCUUGGCCACAAGAUGAUACUUGAGAGGCUUGACUUCAAGAUUAUGAUCACUGUUGCGGGCGGCCUCCUGAUGGCUGCAAGCCUGCUGAUGUGCUUUAUCAUCUGUCUUAGCUACAAACUGACAAAGUCAGUGAAGGGAGAGAAGACGGAAAACGUAACGAGCAAUGACGCUGACGCAAAAGCUAAGAAACCCGCUUUGGAGGCAGGUCAACCUGAGGUUCCGCCAACUCCAGCGUCAAAGCCCCGGUGACAGUCUCGGAGAGAGAUGCCCUGGGGACCCUCAAUCCAGACAGGUGGAGCCCCGGCAUCUCCCGGCCACAGUGCUGCCUCGGGAAGCACAGUCAGCCGGGCUGCCUCCCGACUCUGUCCCUUCAGUGUCCGCGGUCCCUCAAGGGUAAGAGCUGCCUCUCACCCUGGGGGUCCCUGUGCACAGCCCAGACUCCUUAGGUGUCAGGGGUAAUAACCCCGUUGCCUUUGCACCAGAUAAACCUCUCAGACACAGCAGGAAAUCAUGAAUAGCAUUAAUUUUGCUUACUGGUAAGAGUAUGUUCCACAUUAGAAUGUUUAGUAAAAUAAUUUCCUGCUAGUUUAUUUUCUGAAAACCCAUAUAUAUCACAAUGUCUUUAUUUUACCACCCAUUCAUAUUUAACAUAAUUGCAUCAGCAUUUAACAUAAUAGCUGGCAUGGGGCUAUUAUUUUAACUCAUUAAGUGAGUUAUUAUAUGUAACGAAUGAGUUAAAGGCCCUAAAAUGUGGAAUGGUGCCUGAGAACACAUCCUGCAAUUAGGAGCUGGGCUAAGAGGUCCAAAGGAAACAUCUUCAAUUCACUGCUGACCACCAGGGCCGGAGGCCCAGCCCUAGUUCAGCACAUGGAUUCCUGCCCAAUGCUGCACUCUCUCCUCAAAGGUCUUCCUUCACCAGCACUCCG
ensembl:lncRNA